ACUCCUACGGGAGGCAGCAGUGGGGAAUUUUGGACAAUGGGCGAAAGCCUGAUCCAGCAAUGCCGCGUGAGUGAAGAAGGCCUUCGGGUUGUAAAGCUCUUUUGUCAGGGAAGAAACGGUGAAAGCUAAUAUCUUUUGCUAAUGACGGUAACUGAAGAAUAAGCACCGGCUAACUACGUGCCAGCAGCCGCGGUAAUAAGUAGGGUGCAAGCGUUAAUCGGAAUUACUGGGCGUAAAGCGUGCGCAGGCGGUUUUGUAAGUCUGAUGUGAAAUCCCCGGGCUCAACCUGGGAAUUGCAUUGGAGACUGCAAGGCUAGAAUCUGGCAGAGGGGGGUAGAAUUCCACGUGUAGCAGUGAAAUGCGUAGAUAUGUGGAGGAACACCGAUGGCGAAGGCAGCCCCCUGGGUCAAGAUUGACGCUCAUGCACGAAAGCGUGGGGAGCAAACAGGAUUAGAUACCCUUGUAGUCCCAUGAU
rnacentral:rRNA from 1 species